GAGUAUAAAUAAACGAAGAUGCAUGAGAAGAAGUGGGUUAUCGGAACUGAAGUGAUGCGCGGCAACAUUUGGGAAACACAAUGGUUGACAGUGAGCAUAACCGUAACAGUCACCGCCAUUUCCAUCUCUGCAUACGUAUUAAAGAGAAAAUGGAAUCAUCUGAACUCGAAAAUCGAGGAGCUGGAAGCAUCUCUCAAGUCUUGCUCCGACAAAUGCGCCUCCGAAAGGCAAGGCCGAAUUAGGGCUCAACUGGCCUUGAGAAAACAAGUAACACAGUCGCAACCUAAAUCUCAAAACCUAAACCUCACUUCUUAUCCCAUGAUACCAAUUGGUGUCGUCCACUCAUGCUUCUCCACCAGGAACGGGACCCCGAGGCAACCGUUACUCGUCCCACUUGCUAGGGCCUGUUUGGUUUUCAACACAACGCGCGUUCCGCCGGCGUCUCUGGAGGGUUUAGCGGAGUAUUCUCAUUGCUGGAUUCUCUAUGUGUUUCAUUUAAAUACGGAUCUCGAGAAGCUCUGGAAGCAUCCGUCUAAAUCAGGGUUCAAGGCCAAGGUGAGGGUUCCGAGACUGAAGGGUGGAAGAAAGGGAUUGUUUGCCACACGAUCGCCACAUCGUCCAUGCCCCAUUGGACUCACAGUUGCAAAGGUAGAGGCUGUACUGGGAAAUAUGAUUUUGCUCUCUGGCGUGGAUCUGGUUGAUGGAACUCCCGUGCUCGAUAUCAAGCCUUACCUACCAUAUUGUGACAGCAUCCAAGAAGCUGCAGUGCCAAAUUGGUUGAUGGAGGAUAACUUGCUUUCUGUAGCUUCUAUUAGCUUUUCGGAUCACUUUACUUCAGCACUCGAAGAUUGCUGGAUAAUGGCGGUGAGUUGUUAAGUACUUAUCGUGUCAUGUCCACCCUUCCCCCAAUCCAAUGAAACACAACCUUAACUGUUCUAUUUGGAGAACUCAGUUAAUGGUAAGGAUUACAUUGAAAUGAAAUGGUAAACUAAGUGGCUCAAAUGAAAGAAAAAGAAAUAGAAAAUGAGGGACUGAUAUGACCUAGCUUGAAAUUAUAAGGACUAAACUUAAUUAAGCCUUGAUUAAUUAUUUGUUUGAAAUUAUUGUUAAACAGAAUGGAUGCACCCCAUCAGUCCUCACUGUAUAAUUUAACUUUUCUUCCAGGGUACAUAUUUUAAAUUAAGGGGUAUGACUCUGAUCGUCAUACUUCUCUUAUGUCUUGCCUUUUGAUUAUUUUCACUUUUUUUAACCUUAAACUUAGUUAUUCAGUGCUGCUGGUUUUACUUGCUUAUAUUUCAGUUUUAUAUUUGAAAAUAUUGUUUUAGCUUCUUAACUAGCCUUACAUGUUUUUUUUUUAAUCCUUAAAAGUACCAUGCCAAUUUGACUAUCUUUUAUUUUUAUUUUUAUUGCAAAAUGUGGGUGAGCCAUGGUGCAACAGUCAGGUUGCUACCUUGUGACCUAGAACUCAUGGGUUCAAAUCCUAGAAACAAGCUCUCCACUUGUGUCAUCCCCUAACCCCGCUUCGUGGGACUUGGGAGCCUUGUGCAUUAGGACUUGUAAGUCCCUGGUUCCUAGUUACUAUUUAGAAGAGUUGGUCAAACGGAGGAAACCCCCUUAAUUAAAGGGAGAGGAAGCCCUCAACAUCUCAGGAAAAGAAGUCUCUUUAUGCAUCAACAAGUGAGUUCCAAAGCUUGAUAAAGCAGGUUCUUUCAUGGGAUAUUCGGUCAUUGAGCCAGCGAAAUCGGCCACAUGAUACUCUACUUAAGAAAGAAAACGAUGAACUAUUAG